AACGAGGCCGACCUGCGGCUGAGUUACCUGCGGAGGGAUCAUUACAAGUGACCCCGGUCUAACCACCGGGAUGUUCAUAACCCUUUGUUGUCCGACUCUGUUGCCUCCGGGGCGACCCUGCCUUCGGGCGGGGGCUCCGGGUGGACACUUCAAACUCUUGCGUAACUUUGCAGUCUGAGUAAACUUAAUUAAUAAAUUAAAACUUUUAACAAUGGAUCU
rnacentral:misc_RNA from 1 species